ensembl:lincRNA
CCUGCCUCGGGGCGCCUGCUGUGGGGGCUCCGCGAUGGCAGCGUCAGGAAACCCAGGUGCCGUGGGAGCCACCCUGGAGGGGCUGUGUGGAGACCACCCACCUCACUCCACACGGAGGCCCAGCUGCCUGCCACCUGUCCAGCCCCACGGGACGGCUCUGCGCAGCCGGCCUGACCCUCUGAAAGCAGCACUUGCCUUCCCGGGGCCUGCCUUGUUCUCACCUGCCAGGGGGCCUGCCCUGCUCACUCCUGGGGGGCCUGCCCUGCUCACUCCUGCAGGGGAGAGCCUGCCCUGCUCACUCCUGGGGGGCCUGCCCUGCUCACACCUGGGGGGCCUGCCCUGCUCACUCCUGGGGGGCCUGCCCUGCUCACUCCUGCAGGGGAGAGCCUGCCCUGCUCACACCUGGGGGGCCUGCCCUGCUCACACAGCAGCCUCCGUGUCCAGGUGGCCCAGGGAUUUCCGCCGUGAGGGUUUCCGUCCAUCGCUGGAUGAGGGGCAUGGUUGAAUUAACCCCACUCGUUCUCACGCAGACACACCAGGGCGCUGAAUUCUGUCUGGUUUUCUGAGCCCUGCGGCACAGCUAGACACGCCUGGGUACACUUGGAGGCGCCGGCACCAAACAAGCAUCAGGUUUCCGUGGCUACACCUGCAGCAAGUCUGGGCCUUGCGUGGCUGAGCCCAGCGACAGGUGGGAGGAGCCCGGACAAGGCCAAGCGAGGUACAGACCCGGCUGGGGGCCUGGACCCACGUGCGGUGGCUGCUGGCCACGGGGCGAGCCCGGGCACCUGGCCACACCUCUCCCCACGAGGAUGUCAGCUGACAGCGAAGGGCAUUUCCUUCAGAGAGCACCCUAAAAUAGAGGACGGAGAGGAGCGGAGAGCCUCCCCUUUACGCCCCUCGCAAGGCAAUGCUCCAGCAGGGCUAGCAUACAGCAGCAGGGACCACCAGGCAUCUGUGCCGCCACGAAGACGCCCAGCAAAAAGACCAAAGGACUGCCUGCUCUAAGUCGCACGAAAGAGCGCCCAGGAUGGGGAGAAGGUGGCUCCACGGGGAGGGGAGGGGCGUUAGAGUUACUGUAAACCAGGCAACGCCCAAGGCCACUAACGGCAAGCACCCGCGUGAGGCAGGGAACGCCGGAGGGGCCUGCCCACACGCCUGCCUCUGGCUGUGCUGGAGCACUGCGGCUCCAGGGGGCCACCGCCCACAGCCGGACCCCUGCAGCAAUGGCCAGAGGUGCCUCUGCCUCCGUUUGUCUUUACUAGAUCCUGGGGAUCAGGGGAAUCUUUCAUAUCACGAGCUGCACACAAACCUCAGGAAGAGACAGGUGCGGGAGAGUUAACACUUUAAAAUGUUAAAUGCAGGGUGUGACAAAGGAUUACAGGACAAACCAAGAAAUGGGAAAGGAUGGCCCAUCCAAAGGAACAGGAUAGAAAUCCAGAAACCGUCAAUGAAGACAAUCAGACAAUGGACCCGCCAGGCAAAGAUUUAAAAAAAAAAAAAAUCCUCAAUAUGCACAAAGAACUAAAGGAAAACAAAGAAAAAGCACUAAAGGUUAUCAAGAAAAUAACGAAUGAAAAAUAAAAAUAUGAGGAUCUCAAUAAAGAAACAUUUUAAAAAGGAAAUAAACAGAAAUUGUACUUGAAGAAAUAUUGCAGUUACUGAAAUAAAAAUUUUUUAGAGGUUUCAACUGCAAAUUGGAGCUGGCAAAAUAAAGAAUCCAUGAACUUGAGGACAAGAAAGUGAAAUGAUUCAGGCUGAAGAGAAAAAAGAAAAAGGGAUGGAAAAAAAGAGUGAGUAGAGGCUCUCCACAUAGCAUUAACAUUCUUUACUGUAUUCCAAUCAAGCAAAAAAUCUCCUUCAAGAAAUAUCCUAGCUGUAACUGCACUUUGGAAUGGUGGAUUAACCAAGACUUCAGUGUUUCAAGUUGAUAUGAGGGUUGAACUGGAACAUUCUUUGUUCAUGGACUGUAAGACUAAAUAUUGUCAAGAUGUCAAAUCUACUCAAAGCUAUUUACAGAUUCAAUGCAAUCCCAAUCAAAAUUGCAAAAGCCUUCUUUGCAGAAGUGGAAAAGCCAAUUAUCUAGUUUAUAUGGGAAAAGGAAACAGGAAAAAGAAAAAGAAAAAGAAGAAAAAAAAUUUAUAUGGGCCCCCAAACAGCCAAAAUCAUCUUGAAAAGGAACGAAGUUGGAGGACUAACACUCCCCAAUUUUACAACGUACUACAAAGCCACAGUAAUCAAAAUAGUAUGUAUUGGCAUAUGGACAGACAUAUACACCAGAGAAAUUGAAUUAGAGUCCAGAGAUAAACCCUCAUGGCAAUGACCAACUGAUUGCUGACAAGGCUGCCAAGUCCACUCAGUGCAGAAAGAAGAGUCUCUUCAACAAAAGGUGCUGAGAAAACUGGAUGUCCCUCUGCAAAGGAAUGAGGGCGGACCCUUACCUCACACCAUAUACAAAAAUCAGCUAAAAUGGAUCAUAGACCACAAGACUGUAAGAACCAAAGCUAUAAAGCCUAAAGGAGAAAAUGUAGGGAACUUGUGGUAGGCACUGAUUUCUCAGGCUUUACACCAAAAAGCAUAAGCAUCGAAAGAAAAAAAUAAAUGGGACUUCAUCAAAAGUAGAAAUGUCUGUGAAUCAAAGGACCUCACCAUGGAAGUAAAAAGACAACCUACAGAAUGGGAGAAAAUAUUUGGAAACCACAUAUCAGAAUUUAAUAUCCCGAAUAUAUGAAGAAAACCUACAACUCAGCAAUAAAAAGAUUGACUUGCCAAUUAAAAGCUGGGCAAAAGACAUGAGCAGACAUUUCUCCAAAGAAGAAAUUCAGAUGGUGAAUCAGCACAUGAAAAGAUGCUCGCCAUCAUGAGCCGCUAGGGAAACGCAAAUCAAAGCCACAGUGAGAGACCAUUUCCGCUUCUGCUGGAGUGGCUACUAUUUUAAAAAGCGGAAAAUUACAAGUGUUGGAAAGGAUACGGAGAAAUGGGAACACUCGUUCACUGUUGGUGGGAAUGUAAAAUGGUGCAGCUGUUGUGGAAGACAGUGUAGCAAUUCCUCAGAAAGCUAAGUACAGAAUUACCAUACGACAUGGCAACCCCACUUCUAGCCAUCAAAAAGAACUGAAAGCAGGAACAUGAGCAGAUAUUUGUGCACUGAUGUUCACAAUUUCCAAAAGAUGGAAGAAACUCAAGUGUCCAUCAGCAGAUGAAGGGAUGAACACAACGUGGUCUCUCCACACAAUGGACAUCACUCAGCUCUAAGAAGGAGCGACGUUCUGAUACAUGCUACAAACGGAGGGACCUUGAAACAUCAUGCUGAGUGAAGUAAGCCAGACAUGAAAGGACGGAUAUUGUACGGGCUCACUGACAAGAAAUAAUUAGAAUAAGCAAAUUCAUAGAAUAAGAAAUUAGGAUAUAUAUUACCAGGGUACAGUUUGGGGGCAGGGAAUGGGGAGUUAAUGCAUGAUUGGUACAGAGUUUCAGUUUUGGGUGAUGGAUGUUUUCAUAUGGAUGGUGGUGAUAGAAGCACAACAUUGUGAAUGCAAUUGAUAGCACUACAGUAUAUAUUUGAACAUAGUUAAAAGGGGAAAUUUCAGGUUGACUAUGUUACUAGAAUGAAAUUUCUUAAAAUCAUAUAACUGUACAACACAAAGAGUGAAUCCUAUGAUAAUAUUGUUUCUUUGAUUGUAACAAAAUACAUACAUUAAUGCAAAGUGUUAAUAGGGAAAACCGUGUGAGGGCAGAAGGUAUAUGGGAACUGUUUUCUGCAUGAUUUUUCUGUAAAUAUAUAUUUAAAAAUAAUUUUUAAAAAAACCAUCUGCCUGGAUAUCUGAUGUUAAGAAAUUCUUUUUAGAUGUGAUGUUAUUUUUUAAUGUUUAUUUUUAAAAAGAUUUCUUUUAUUAGGCUUGACCCUUUAGUUUUUAGAGCUACAUCGUGAAUUAUUUAUGGAAGAAAUGCCAUGUGUCUGGAAUUUGCUUUAAAAUAGUCUGGUACAGGCUUGAAAAUGUUGAACUAAAACUGACAGCUGAUAACGGAUGAGGUUGUGAUGGAUACACCGGCGCCCCCACACUGUCUCGCUAUUUUGUACAUGCGCUUUCAUUUUGCAUAAUAAAAAGUAUUUGAGGUCCCGCUGAGAGCUCAUUUAACCCUGCCGUCCCCCACCUCGCACGUUUGUUCUCCCCCUGCCAGCCCCCACUGUUCGCCCACACUGGGGCCUGCGCCGGCUCGACGCGGGCAUGGGGUGGCACGUGCCGGGCGGGGACCAGGCCUGCUCCUGGACAGCCCCCCCAGCCCCUCGCCCCCUUCGGGGCGCCCCACAGAUCGCAGCUGUCUGAGCAGACGUGCCCCCCAGGCCAGGAGGAGGCCACACGGAGGAGGCAGCAGCAGCCGGCCAGGGCAGGACGCGUGGGCAGGGCGUCCUGUGCGGACCCAGCUGAGCCCAGCACCCGGGACCCAGAGGGUGCACGGGGCCGGGGGAGGCGGAGCGCGGGCGUUCAGCAGGCCCGCAGGACUCGGGGUGCCCCCGGAGAGGAGGGCUGUAUUCCACGGGCAAAGCCACAGAUGAUUUCAGACAGAGCCGGGGGGUGGGGGGCAGGCUUCCCAAGGUGUGGCUGGCGGCGGGGAGCGGCCCGGCCCCGAGGGCCUGCCCAGGCCGCCUGCGCACCAAGCCUGUCUUUUCCCUGGCUUGGAAAUGCCCCAUCGGGGAGGCUGGGGCCCCACUGCAGUCUCUACAGAAAAGCCAGGAGCACUCCUGGGGUGCAAUGCUAUUCUCUGGGAGCCACCAGGGCAGGGGGCCCGGGGAAGAGGCUCAAGGCCCAGGACGUGGGGGAGAGGUGGGAGCUCCCCGAGGCUCGGGCAAUGGGAGCCCCAGCAGGUGCAGCGCACCGCAGGGGGUGCUAGGGCGCAUCCUCCCGUGGGGGUGCGUCUGCAGGGAGGG